rnacentral:rRNA from 1 species
UACGUAGGGGGCGAGCGUUGUCCGGAUUUAUUGGGCGUAAAGAGCGUGUAGGCGGCCAGGUAGGUCUGCUGUGAAAACUCGAGGCUCAACCUCGAGACGUCGGCGGAAACCAUCUGGCUAGAGUCCGGAAGAGGAGAGUGGAAUUCCUGGUGUAGCGGUGAAAUGCGCAGAUAUCUGGAGGAAUACCGGUGGCGAAGGCGGCAUCCUGGACCGACAUUGACGCUGAGGAGCGAAAGCCAGGGGAGCAAACGGG